CCACCCCCCAAAUGAAACUGCGUCUACCCUAACCCCCAAAUCCACAAUCCAUACCCUAACCUUCAGGCUUCAAUACUCAUCGCUCCCUCUUCUCCAAAUCUCCACACCUGCUGGCUGCCGACCUGCGCCCAGCCAGCCAGCUACCGCUCCCUCUUCAGUACUCAUCGCACCCAGCCACCCACCACCGCGAAGCCUUUGGCCCGUCGCACAUACACCCAAACGAAGCCACGCCGUCGCACAUCAGGUCAAGACGAAGCCACCACCGACCGACUCGACACGGCAGCACAGCACCACGCCGCCACCGUUGAGACGCCACCACCCUAACCCAUCAGUUCAACCCAGCACGGCAGCACCUCCCAGUCUUCCACUCAGCCUUCCUCCCAAGUCAAUAUGGAGCCAGAGCCACUGAUUCAGUGUUGAACUUCUUACACUAUGUGAAAAAUAACAAAAUAGUUGAGGAGAAAAAGAUGAACUAUGUGCAAUUGGCCGAGUAGACAGUAGACUGAUUCAAGUCAGAUAUGGAGCUGGAGCUACCAAGUCAGGUAUGUAAUUUGAGUAAUUUCUGUUUUGAAUUACUGAAAGUGCUUCUGUUUGUAUUGUUAGUAGCUUGGUAUUGUUGGAAAAAUAAUAUAAACUGCUUUUGGUUAUUAUUAGUUUUUUUGGAAGAAUAAUAUAAAAUAAAAAGAAACUUUUGAAGUGAUUUAGUAUGAAAUCAGAUUUGAAAUCAGAUAAACUGGUUUUGAAUCUUGAUAGGAAGAUAUUGAAAUUAGAUUUGAAGCAGAUUUGAAGAAUUAAAUUUGGAGCAGAUUUGAAAUCAGUGUAUUGUUGCUGAUUGUUGGUUGAAUUAAUUUUGAUAAAUUACUUUAUUGUUGGUAUUAUUGCUGGUUGCUGGUUUUGUUGCUGGUUUUGUUGCUUAUUGUUGCUGCCUUGCUGGUUUUUAAUUUAUUUGUUGUUGUGUUUUUGCUGGUUUUUAAUUUAUUUGUUGUUGUUGACAAGUAUGGAGCUUUCAGGAUCUUUAUCUCCUUUUGUUACCAAUAUGACAUCUCUGACUAAUAUCCGGCUUGGGAAUAACAGUUUGUCCGGGCACAUUCCUGACCUAGGUUCACUAACACUAUUAGAAAUAUUGCACUUGGAAGACAAUCAAUUCGACGGAGAGAUUCCUUCAUCCCUAGGGAACAUAAGCACUUUGCAUAAAGUGUAAACUCUGUCCUCUCUAUACAAGAGAAUUAAACUGGUUUUUUGUGCUGUUUCUUGAAUCCUGAGUAGAUAUUUAAGUCAGCCCUGUACAACUACAUUGUUUACAUGAGUGUGGCCCAAAAAUAGUACAAUUUAUUUGAAUUCCUUUUGUCGAUAAAUUUAAUUGGAUCAAGACUUUGUUACCUAAUGUGUAUUUGUGUUUGUCGAUUUCAAUUUUAU